rnacentral:rRNA from 1 species
AUUGAACGCUGGCGGCAUGCCUAACACAUGCAAAUCGAACGGAAACGGGCCUCUUGCUCCCGACUUCUGCCGCACGCGGGAGUAUUAUACCUGAACGUCUCCCAUCGUGGGGGGUAUCGCGUCCAAAGCCGUGCUCUUAUCCCAUACGAGCUACGAAUGAGAACAGGGGAGAUCAUCGCAUCGCGCGCGAUCCGAUGAACCUCAGUCGGAUUAGCUAGUUGGUGGGAUAAAUGCCUACCAAGCCGACUAUCGGUAACUGGUCUGAGAGGAUGAUCAGCCACACUGGAACUGAGACACGGCCCAGACUCCUACGGGAGGCAGCAGUGGGGAAUAUUGGACAAUGGGCGCAAGCCUGAUCCAGCCAUGCCGCGUGCAGGAUGAAGGCCUUCGGGUUGUAAACUGCUUUUGUACGGGACGAAGAGCCUUAUUUUAAUACAGGGGGGUCAUGACGGUACCGUAAGAAUAAGCACCGGCUAACUACGUG